rnacentral:rRNA from 1 species
CAGCCGCCGCGGUAAUACCGGCGGCCCGAGUGGCGGUCACUAUUAUUGGGCUUAAAGCGUCCGUAGCCGGGUUGGGAAGUCCUCCGGGAAAUCUGGCCGCUUAACGGUCAGAAUGCCGGAGGAUACUCCCAGCCUAGGGAGCGGGCGAGGCCGAGGGUAUUCCCGGAGUAGGGGUGAAAUCCUAUAAUCCCCGGAGGACCACCAGUGGCGAAGGCGCCCGGCUGGCACGCGCCCGACGGUGAGGGACGAAAGCUGGGGGAGCAAAGGGGAUUAGAUACCCCCGUAGUCCCAGCGGUAAACGAUGCGGGCUAGAUGUUGGGCGGGCCUCGAGCCCGCCCAGUGUCGUAGGGAAGCCGUUAAGCCCGCCGCCUGGGGAGUACGGCCGCAAGGCUGAAACUUAAAGGAAUUGGCGGG